UACAGAGGGGGCAAGCGUUAUUCGGAAUUAUUGGGCGUAAAGGGCGCGUAGGCGGCUUGGCAAGUGGAUGGUGAAAUCCCUCGGCUUAACCGAGGAACUGCCGUCCAAACUGCUUUGCUUGAGGCCGGGAGAGGCGAGUGGAAUUCCCAGUGUAGCGGUGAAAUGCGUAGAUAUUGGGAGGAACACCAGUGGCGAAGGCGGCUCGCUGGACCGGUUCUGACGCUGAGGUGCGAAAGCGUGGGGAGCAAACAGG
rnacentral:rRNA from 1 species